UAUUUGACAUGAGAUCACAACUUUUAAUUCUCUUCCCCCAGUAUUCUGCAUGAAGUAUUUUUCUGUGAAGGAUUUAAAUAGAAUUACUUUUCCUCACAUUGGUCAUGGAGAGAAUUAAGACAUUAGCUAUUGAUCCAAUGUAUACUGCCAUUUGAUCCCAUAAGUGCUAUACAGGACUCGGUUACUCAUGGAAAAUAUCUCCUGCCAGAUCAAACACUCUCAGGGCCAAAGUCACAGGAUUCUGACUUUACAUGUUCUGUUCUGCCUCCUUUCAUUUUGCCUCUGGGAUUGUCAUGAACUUCCUGAGCAAGAAGGCCAUCCACCAUGCAGGGUGACCUCUUGCUAAGAGAAUUGUAUUCACCUUGCUCAGGCUCUGGCAAGUACUUUCUUCAUGUAGAUCUUCAAGUGGAAUGGAGCAGCCUUGCCCGUGAAGUCUUUCCUGUGGCUCCACUAAAAACUUCAGUUAAGUAUUCCAAUAUUGCUCUGAAACAAAGUGAUCCAAUUCAGGUGAGUCAAUUUGUCUUGCAAGCAUAGCCCAUCUGGAUUCUUUACACUAAGGCAAGAGGCAAGCAGAAGACAGAAAGUGAGAAAGCAGAAACCCUCUGGGAAAGGAAACCCCCUUUUCAGUCUGCCUAGGCAGAAGUACAUGAUUCAUUCUGAGGGGGAAGCUUUCAGGGUCCUUCACUUGCCCUGGUUUCAUAAAUAAAUCCUUAUAUAC